GAAGUCGGAGUCGCUAGUAAUCGCAGAUCAGCAACGCUGCGGUGAAUACGUUCCCGGGCCUUGUACACACCGCCCGUCAAGUCACGAAGUCGGUAACACCCGAAGCCGGUGGCCUAACCCUUGUGGGGGGAGCCGUCGAAGGUGGGACCAGCGAUUGGGACUAAGUCGUAACAAGGUAGCCGUACCGGAAGGUGCGGCUGGAUCACCUCCUUU
rnacentral:rRNA from 1 species